AGGAGGAACAACCACAGUGGUUGCGGCCAGCUCCCCAGCCCUGGAGUCAGUUCCUACAGUAUCUACAGAGCUCUCAGUCUGCAGGGGCCUGCAUGCUCCGGGCCGGG
rnacentral:pre_miRNA from 1 species